CMACUUUCAACAACGGAUCUCUUGGCUCUCGCAUCGAUGAAGRACGCAGCGARAUGCGAUAAGUAAUGUGAAUUGCAGAUUUUCAGUGAAUCAUCGAAUCUUUGAACGCACCUUGCGCUCCUUGGUAUUCCGAGGAGCAUGCCUGUUUGAGUGUCAUUA
rnacentral:rRNA from 1 species